CCUACGGGAGGCUGCAGUGGGGAAUAUUGCACAAUGGGCGCAAGCCUGAUGCAGCAACGCCGCGUGAGGGACGACGGCCUUCGGGUUGAAACCUCUUUUAGUGGGAGGGCGGUACCUGCAGAAAAAGCACCGGCUAACUACGUGCCAGCAGCCGCGGUAAUACGUAGGGUGCAAGCGUUAUCCGGAAUUAUUGGGCGUAAAGAGCUCGUAGGCGGUUUGUCGCGUCUGCUGUGAAAACUGGAGGCUCAACCUCCAGCCUGCAGUGGGUACGGGCAGACUAGAGUGCGGUAGGGGAGAUUGGAAUUCCUGGUGUAGCGGUGGAAUGCGCAGAUAUCAGGAGGAACACCGAUGGCGAAGGCAGAUCUCUGGGCCGUACUGACGCUGAGGAGCGAAAGCAUGGGGAGCGAACAGGAUUAGAUACCCUUGUAGUC
rnacentral:rRNA from 1 species